GUUACGGGUUGUUCUGUCGCCACGCUCAAGGUGUGGAGGAAAGUCGGGACAACACAGAGCUCCAUACUUCCUAACGGGAAGGCCACGCUUACGGCGUGGACAGCAAGUGCCACAGAAAAUAACCGCCACGCCACUGGCGCGGUAAGGGUGAAAACGUGGGGUAAGAGCCCACGAGCCGUGAUGGUGACAUCAUGGUUGGGUAAACCUUAUGGGUUGCAAGACCAAAUAUGCCGGCGUUGUCAUGUUAAGGCAUGACAGAAAGAUUGCUCGUCUGAGCCGGUGGGUAGGUUGCUAAAGGUUGUCAGUGAUGGCAACCGCAGAUAAAUGACAGAAAUCGUGCCUUGGCACGAAACAGAAUCCCGCUUACAGACCCGUAACCUUU
rnacentral:RNase_P_RNA from 1 species